UCUUUAUCAUGGCGCUCACCAGAACAUGGACAUAGUUCUGAGCCUCGUGUCGUUAACUGUCACCAAAGUUUUACAGUUCUCUGGACUUGUGGACAAAAGGGAUGCCCUGAGGACGAGGAAGAUGGAGGAGAAAGCGUUAGAGGUGUACGAUGUGAUCCGAUCGAUCCGGGACCCGGAGAAGCCCAACACCCUGGAGGAGCUGGACGUGGUGACGGAGAAGUGUGUGGAGGUCCAGGAGCUGGGAGAGGACGAGUACCUCAUCAUCAUCAAGUUCUCUCCAACCGUCCCUCACUGCUCUCUGGCGACUCUGAUCGGUCUCUGCCUUCAGGUGAAGCUGCAGAGAUGUUUGCCAUUCAAACACAAGCCGUGUGUGAGAGGUCGAGGGUCAUGCAGAGAGGAGUUCUUGGAUGACCAUCAAACAAACAGCAGCGUGCGGCGGCAGGUGGAGGGAGCAGCCUCUUCAUUACAGGAGAGCUUCUCCUGCCUGAACCACAAGGAGGAAAAACAAAAGACCCUGACGGCAGCAGCUGACAGAGCUGGAGAACAUCAGGAAACAUUUAGCAGCUGAAGAAUCAGGCACAUUCUCAGGAGGUGGUGGAGAACAAACCAGAGCUACAAGGGAGAAAAACGCAGCGUCAGCAGGACGAUCGGCUCGCUCCGUGUCCGCUGGUCAACCUGAACUCACAGAACAGCUUCUGAAUGUUUCAUCUAGGUGUGACGGUCUUCCUCCUCCUGGUCACACCAGCUGGAAAUUUACAUUUCAGAAGGAACCCACUCUACAGAGGAAGACACAACACAAAGCUGACAGCCAGAGCAGCGCGUCCCCUCCGACGAGGACCUCGUACCUGAACAUGGAGCGAGUUAAAUCAGGUGGACGUGGAUUAGCUGCAAGAGUUCCAACAAACCACCAUGAUGUGACGUAACGUCUAUGCAAGAAAACGGUGACGAACACGACAAACUUGUUUCACCACCUCAAGCAAAAACUCUCCGUCCAGUCCGAGCAGACUGUGAAGGGUCGCGGAGCACGACUCAGCCGAACACAGCUGGAAGGAAACUCCUGCUGCGGUUACAUCUUGUCUGACUGACGAUACGGUGCCGAUCCAAAAGGUCCAGUUUUUAAAGACGUCCCCGUCUGCUUUGUCUGAAGAAUACCGGACAAACUCGCAGCUGCUGUCUUCAUCUUGAUAACCUUCGUUUUGUUUGAACUGAUAAAAUGCUGCUGCUGUAAUCACAGUUAAACAUUGUUCACUUUUGUUUUUAUAUCAUAAAUCAUAAAUAUAGUUUGAUGCAGUUUGACAUAAACAGAAGGACCCUCUUCCUUCAGCAGCAGGUGGCGCAACAAACUCAACAUGUGAGACAAUAAAACAGCUCUCAGUUUGAGCUGCGGCGCUCUCGAUGUUACAGAGUUGUGUGUUUGUGUUUGUGUUGUUUCAUUGUGGUUCAGUGUCUCAGUGAACUUUGUGU